rnacentral:tRNA from 1 species
GCCUGGGUGGCUCAGUCGGUUUAAGUGUCUGACUUCGACUCAGGUCAUGAUCUCUCAGUCCGUGGGUUCCAGUCCCACAUCAGGCU